GGUUGUAGCUCAGUGGCAGAGUAUUUGCCUAGCAUGUGUGAGGCACUGGGUUUGAUUCUCAGCACCA
rnacentral:tRNA from 1 species